UUAAGUACUGGUCUUCAUUUAAAAAUGCUGUCCUGAGAAAUACUUUAUUCUCCAACUGAUAAUUUCUCAUAGAAAGCUUCUGCUGCAAUAAAUCUGCAGUUUAAAAGGGAAAAGAACAGCAACUCCUUAUUUCAAUUUUUUUUUUUUUUAAGGUUUCCAGCCUGCUGUAUUUUAGAGGAUGUGCUACUGUGAAGGCUUAGAUAAAAUGGAAGUAAAGAUCCUGCUAUUACUUCUCAAUGGAGAUCCUAAAGCCUUUAGCACUUGAGAGCUGAAUCAAAGGCCAACUGAUGUGAGAGUUUAAGGCUUUUGCUGCUGUGGGAUGUGAUGCUUCUGAGGCACCUCACUGUAUGUAAGAAAGCCACAGGUUCUGUCUUCACUGAUACAUCAUGAUCUUUCUCUUGUGAUGGGAUUUAGUGGAGUGUGGUGCUAGAUGUGUGAAUGUAAUUUAAUGGCAGCAAUGAAAAUCAAAUCAGACACAUCCAUGAGACCAUUUACUGCUUUCAGCUCAAAUGGGAAGGACAGCAGGAAGAGAAGGAUAUGCCCUUCUAGCUUGACACUUGUCAGGAAAGUCCUCAAACCUCAUGAAUACAGGGAAAAAGGUAUAAAAUGUUUACAUAUGGCAAGAAGAGUCAAGGAUCGUUGGGAACUGUGCCUUGUGUGAAAGUCACAGCGUCAUCAUUCUUUAUGGGUUACAGCCAUAUUCAGUUACUUUGCUUUUCAGAACAAUUGUUGAAAUCUUUUGAUGUCUGCCAUAUAACAAUUUUGUUCUUAUUUCUUUGUCUUUAGUUUCCUAACCACAUAUUGUAAAUUUGUGAAACAAA